rnacentral:tRNA from 1 species
GGGGGUUAUAGCUCAGGGGUAGAGCAUUUGACUGUCAAUCAAGAGGUCUCUGGUUCAAAUCCAGGUGCCCCUG